GACGAACGCUGGCGGCGUCCUUAACACAUGCAAGUCGAACGGAGUGGCGAACGGGUGAGUAACACGUGGGUGACCUGCCCUGCACUUCGGGAUAAGCCUGGGAAACUGGGUCUAAUACCGCAUAGGGUGGGAUGGGCCCGCGGCCUAUCGGCUUGUUGGUGGGGUAAUGGCCUACCAAGGCGGUGACGGGUAGCCGGCCUGAGAGGGUGGACGGCCACAUUUGGACGGGGGCACGGCCCAGACGCCUACGGGGGGCAGCAGUGGGGAAUAUUGCACAAUGGGCGGAAGCCGGAUGCAGCGAUGCCGGGUGGGGGAUGACGGCCUUCGGGUUGUAAACUCCUUUCACCAUCGACGCGGUAGAUGGAGAAGAAGCACCGGCUAACUACGUGCCAGCAGCCGCGGUAAUAC
rnacentral:rRNA from 1 species